CGAGGGAAGUGAUUGUCCCGCUCUGCUCUGCGCUGUGCGGCCUCACCUCGAGCACUGUGUGCAGUUCUGGGCACCACAGUACAAAAAGGACAUUAAACUGUUGGAGAGUGUCCAGAGGAGGGCUACGAAGAUGAUGCAUGUAAAGGCUAACCUCUGUCCUAGAGAUGAAAUUCCAACCAGAGCUGGACAAAGCACAAAUGAUGUGGAGAAGAAUCUCAAGUUACAAGAAUGUGCCCAGUGGCACUGAGAACACUGCCAACAACUGCUUGAGAGCCUACAGGAUCGCCAGACUUAUGAAAGCUGCAGUGCUCAGUGCUCCUGCUUGCUGCUUCCAUCAGCAUCUCUGGAUACGCACUGUUGCUCUGCUAGGUCAUUGCUCUGUUUCUGAGUUUGAGAGAUCCCUGCCUCCUACAGCACAAGGCUACAGAGCCAAGGGUACAGAGUUGUUGCCAUGAAAGCUGCGUUGCUGUGCGUUGAAAUGCUGCUGGAAUUUUGGAACACAGGCCUUUCAGAAGGAAAGUUUUGACAGUG